rnacentral:tRNA from 1 species
AAAAUAAAGUGGAAGGAUUUAAGGUUAGAAAUUGAGGCAAAGUAAACUAGGAUUAGAUACCCUAUUAUUCUC